GUGUGUGCUGUUAAACAAUUUGUAACACGAUUCCAAGAGUAAUUGAUCUCGCAGUCUCGCAUAUAUUAUACGCCGUCUGAAAAUUGAUAUUAUCGUCUUGAUAAUACUUUUUUCAGAUCUCGAGUAGAAUUCAAUCGAUGCUAUUCCAUACCGACAUGAUUGUAAAUUGAAUCCAUUCGAACUUGCCAUUUCAUAAUUUUUGCCAUACACGUCUGAGAAGCGUGAAAUAUCUCAGAAGUAGAUGAAGGUCGGUUUCGUUCAAGAAACGAUGGUUCGCGGUUUCAUAAAUUAACGAGUGCAUGCGGAUGACACGCUGUAUCAACGGUCAACCAAAUUUCAAAGGAACAAAAAAAUCUAUGCAGAAGAAAAAACUAAAAAUGUAGAGAGAAAAUGUUGGGAAAAUGUUGAAGCGUUGUUGCAA
rnacentral:misc_RNA from 1 species